rnacentral:lncRNA from 1 species
CUUUGGACUUAUUGGAGCAAGUUGCAACGGACUUCACAUAUCACGGAAUAUUUACUGAAACUAUCCGUCAAUUAUUUUGAUUUUACAAUAAGACUUUUCUGACAAAGUAUAUUUUGAUGUUUUAUAACAAAAAACAUAGAAUAUAAACAUAUACAAACAAAGUAUGUGGCAUAUAUGUGCACUUUAAUUGAAAAUAUGUGUAUAUAAUAGCGAAAAAGGUAGUAAUUCCAUAUAUCAGUUGAGAGCAAAUUAUUGACUAAUACACAAAAUGUGACGGAAGGCAAGUGAUUAAGUUCCGUGUUGAAAUUGAAGUUUUUAGUCCAUUCUUUUUCCAUUGAUUUCUUAAGGUUUUUUUCAUAUUUUGGUUCCGAAAUUUUUAUCACUUAUUAGUUUUAUGAAAUACUAUAUGCUUAAAAUAUUAUGGGAUAAUUUUUAUUACUGCUAUGAAGAAGAAACCAAAGUUUGUGUCUGAAUUUGCA